rnacentral:rRNA from 1 species
GACGGAGGAUGCAAGUGUUAUCCGGAAUCACUGGGCGUAAAGCGUCUGUAGGUGGUUUAAUAAGUCAACUGUUAAAUCUUGAGGCUCAACCUCAAAAUCGUAGUCGAAACUAUUAGGCUAGAGUAUAGUAGGGGUAAAGGGAAUUUCCAGUGGAGCGGUGAAAUGCGUAGAGAUUGGAAAGAACACCGAUGGCGAAGGCACUUUACUGGGCUAUUACUAACACUCAGAGACGAAAGCUAGGGUAGCAAAUGGG